rnacentral:rRNA from 1 species
UACAGAGGGUGCAAGCGUUGUUCGGAAUUACUGGGCGUAAAGCGUGCGUAGGCGGUAUUGAGAGUCACGGGUGAAAUCCCCAAGCUUAACUUGGGAACUGCCUGUGAGACCUCAGUACUAGAGUGUGAGAGAGGAUUGUGGAAUUCCUGGUGUAGCGGUGAAAUGCGUAGAGAUCAGGAGGAACACCGGUGGCGAAGGCGACAAUCUGGCUCAUAACUGACGCUCAGGCACGAAAGCGUGGGUAGCAAACAGGAUUAGAUACCCUGGUAGUCCACGCCGUAAACGAUGCAUACUAGACGUAGUGGGAUUUACUUCUGCUGUGUCGAAGCUAACGCGAUAAGUAUGCCGCCUGGGAAGUACGGUCGCAAGACUA